UGAAACUUGAGCCAAAAUAAAUCUUUGC
rnacentral:piRNA from 2 species